rnacentral:rRNA from 1 species
UACGUAGGGGGCAAGCGUUGUCCGGAUUUAUUGGGCGUAAAGAGCGUGUAGGCGGCCAGAUAGGUCCGUUGUGAAAGUCAAAGGCUCAACCUUUGAAUGUCAGCGGAUACUGCCAGGCUAGAGUCCGGAAGAGGCGAGUGGAAUUCCUGGUGUAGCGGUGGAAUGCGCAGAUAUCAGGAGGAACACCAACGGCGAAGGCAGCUCGCUGGGACGGUACUGACGCUGAGGCGCGAAAGCCAGGGGAGCGAACGGG